AAAUACAGAGUCAUGAUAAUUUUACUAUAUCCAUCAUUUAGUAUUUUCAACCAUGAUUUAGUAUUUUUUACCGAAAAUCUGGGCGAUAAUACUACGACAUAGUAUUUUUACUAUGCGAACUUUGACAGCUCAUAGUAAUUUUCUCGUGUCUUAAUUACCAUGCGCAUGAUAUUUUGAUAUUACACAAUUCGUGUUCUUGAAAUUACUAUGCCCAUGAUAAUGUUGAAACACCGUCAUCUGUGUUGUCAAAAAUACUAUGCGCAUUAUAAUUCAUAGUAAUUUUACUAUAUGUGCUUCGUUCGAGUGUUUGUUUUUUGACGGGUCAGCCGUUCGCAAUUUCGGAACGCGAACAAAAAUUAUCGGAUUGUCGGGAAAUGAUGAUCGGGAAAUGUAUUCCCUCAGAUUUCCCAGAUUGUGUCGUCGACCAGCUGGAAGGGGCCUCAACGAGCCUUUGAACCAACACACCCGGAGCGGGACAGCAGAUCAGUCAGGUCGGAAAUUUUUCAGUGUCGGCGAAUGCGCUAGAGUUCCUCAACCUCCCGAGAUUGGACAACGUCGGAGGACAUUGUGACGAAAGCUGCUAACCGACGCUAAGUGUGAUGCAACCCCUGUGCCCCAUUCGUGGGUGGUGCUACCACCA